rnacentral:rRNA from 1 species
UUAAGUUAUUAAGGGCGCACGGUGGAUGCCUUGGCACUAGAAGCCGAUGAAGGACGUUACUAACGACGAUAUGCUUUGGGGAGCUGUAAGUAAGCUUUGAUCCAGAGAUUUCCGAAUGGGGAAACCCAGCAUGAGUUAUGUCAUGUUAUCGAUAUGUGAAUACAUAGCAUAUCAGAAGGCACACCCGGAGAACUGAAACAUCUUAGUACCCGGAGGAAGAGAAAGAAAAUUCGAUUCCCUUAGUAGCGGCGAGCGAAACGGGAAGAGCCCAAACCAACAAGCUUGCUUGUUGGGGUUGUAGGACACUCUAUACGGAGUUACAAAGGACGACAUUAGACGAAUCAUCUGGAAAGAUGAAUCAAAGAAGGUAAUAAUCCUGUAGUCGAAAAUGUUGUCUCUCUUGAGUGGAUCCUGAGUACGACGGAGCACGUGAAAUUCCGUCGGAAUCUGGGAGGACCAUCUCCUAAGGCUAAAUACUCUCUAGUGACCGAUAGUGAACCAGUACCGUGAGGGAAAGGUGAAAAGCACCCCGGAAGGGGAGUGAAAUAGAACCUGAAACCGUGUGCUUACAAGUAGUCAGAGCCCGUUAAUGGGUGAUGGCGUGCCUUUUGUAGAAUGAACCGGCGAGUUACGAUUUGAUGCAAGGUUAAGCAGUAAAUGUGGAGCCGUAGCGAAAGCGAGUCUGAAUAGGGCGUUUAGUAUUUGGUCGUAGACCCGAAACCAGGUGAUCUACCCUUGGUCAGGUUGAAGUUCAGGUAACACUGAAUGGAGGACCGAACCGACUUACGUUGAAAAGUGAGCGGAUGAACUGAGGGUAGCGGAGAAAUUCCAAUCGAACCUGGAGAUAGCUGGUUCUCUCCGAAAUAGCUUUAGGGCUAGCCUCAAGUGAUGAUUAUUGGAGGUAGAGCACUGUUUGGACGAGGGGCCCCUCUCGGGUUACCGAAUUCAGACAAACUCCGAAUGCCAAUUAAUUUAACUUGGGAGUCAGAACAUGGGUGAUAAGGUCCGUGUUCGAAAGGGAAACAGCCCAGACCACCAGCUAAGGUCCCAAAAUAUAUGUUAAGUGGAAAAGGAUGUGGCGUUGCCCAGACAACUAGGAUGUUGGCUUAGAAGCAGCCAUCAUUUAAAGAGUGCGUAAUAGCUCACUAGUCGAGUGACACUGCGCCGAAAAUGUACCGGGGCUAAACAUAUUACCGAAGCUGUGGAUUGUCCUUUGGACAAUGGUAGGAGAGCGUUCUAAGGGCGUUGAAGCAUGAUCGUAAGGACAUGUGGAGCGCUUAGAAGUGAGAAUGCCGGUGUGAGUAGCGAAAGACGGGUGAGAAUCCCGUCCACCGAUUGACUAAGGUUUCCAGAGGAAGGCUCGUCCGCUCUGGGUUAGUCGGGUCCUAAGCUGAGGCCGACAGGCGUAGGCGAUGGAUAACAGGUUGAUAUUCCUGUACCACCUAUAAUCGUUUUAAUCGAUGGGGGGACGCAGUAGGAUAGGCGAAGCGUGCGAUUGGAUUGCACGUCUAAGCAGUAAGGCUGAGUAUUAGGCAAAUCCGGUACUCGUUAAGGCUGAGCUGUGAUGGGGAGAAGACAUUGUGUCUUCGAGUCGUUGAUUUCACACUGCCGAGAAAAGCCUCUAGAUAGAAAAUAGGUGCCCGUACCGCAAACCGACACAGGUAGUCAAGAUGAGAAUUCUAAGGUGAGCGAGCGAACUCUCGUUAAGGAACUCGGCAAAAUGACCCCGUAACUUCGGGAGAAGGGGUGCUCUUUAGGGUUAACGCCCAGAAGAGCCGCAGUGAAUAGGCCCAAGCGACUGUUUAUCAAAAACACAGGUCUCUGCUAAACCGUAAGGUGAUGUAUAGGGGCUGACGCCUGCCCGGUGCUGGAAGGUUAAGAGGAGUGGUUAGCUUCUGCGAAGCUACGAAUCGAAGCCCCAGUAAACGGCGGCCGUAACUAUAACGGUCCUAAGGUAGCGAAAUUCCUUGUCGGGUAAGUUCCGACCCGCACGAAAGGCGUAACGAUUUGGGCACUGUCUCAACGAGAGACUCGGUGAAAUCAUAGUACCUGUGAAGAUGCAGGUUACCCGCGACAGGACGGAAAGACCCCGUGGAGCUUUACUGUAGCCUGAUAUUGAAAUUCGGCACAGCUUGUACAGGAUAGGUAGGAGCCUUUGAAACGUGAGCGCUAGCUUACGUGGAGGCGCUGGUGGGAUACUACCCUAGCUGUGUUGGCUUUCUAACCCGCACCACUUAUCGUGGUGGGAGACAGUGUCAGGCGGGCAGUUUGACUGGGGCGGUCGCCUCCUAAAAGGUAACGGAGGCGCUCAAAGGUUCCCUCAGAAUGGUUGGAAAUCAUUCAUAGAGUGUAAAGGCAUAAGGGAGCUUGACUGCGAGACCUACAAGUCGAGCAGGGUCGAAAGACGGACUUAGUGAUCCGGUGGUUCCGCAUGGAAGGGCCAUCGCUCAACGGAUAAAAGCUACCCCGGGGAUAACAGGCUUAUCUCCCCCAAGAGUUCACAUCGACGGGGAGGUUUGGCACCUCGAUGUCGGCUCAUCGCAUCCUGGGGCUGUAGUCGGUCCCAAGGGUUGGGCUGUUCGCCCAUUAAAGCGGUACGCGAGCUGGGUUCAGAACGUCGUGAGACAGUUCGGUCCCUAUCCGUCGUGGGCGUAGGAAAUUUGAGAGGAGCUGUCCUUAGUACGAGAGGACCGGGAUGGACAUACCUCUGGUGUACCAGUUGUCGUGCCAACGGCAUAGCUGGGUAGCUAUGUGUGGACGGGAUAAGCGCUGAAAGCAUCUAAGCAUGAAGCCCCCCUCAAGAUGAGAUUUCCCAACUUCGGUUAUAAGAUCCCUCAAAGAUGAUGAGGUUAAUAGGUUCGAGGUGGAAGCAUGGUGACAUGUGGAGCUGACGAAUACUAAUCGAUCGAAGACUUAAUCAA